rnacentral:rRNA from 1 species
UACGAAGGUGGCAAGCGUUGUUCGGAUUUACUGGGCGUACAGGGAGCGUAGGCGGUUGGAUAAGCCCUCCGUGAAAUCUCCAGGCUUAACCUGGAAAGUGCAGAGGGGACUGUUCAGCUAGAGGAUGGGAGAGGAGCGCGGAAUUCCCGGUGUAGCGGUGAAAUGCGUAGAGAUCGGGAGGAAUACCGGUGGCGAAAGCGACUCUCUGGACGGCAACUGACGCUGAGGCACGAAAGCGUGGGGAGCGAACAGG